rnacentral:rRNA from 1 species
UACAGAGGGUGCAAGCGUUAAUCGGAAUUACUGGGCGUAAAGCGUGCGCAGACGGUUGCGUAAGUCAGAUGUGAAAGCCCAGGGCUCAACCCUGGAAUUGCCUUUGAUACUGGCUAUCUUGAGUUCGGAAGAGGUAAGUGGAACUCCGAGUGUAGAGGUGAAAUUCGUAGAUAUUCGGAAGAACACCAGUGGCGAAGGCGACUUACUGGUCCGAUACUGACGCUGAAACACGAAAGCGUGGGGAGCAAACAGG